UUCUGUGAGAAUUUGAUCUUGGUUCAGAUUGAAUGCUGACAGCGUGGAUGAGGCAUGCAAGUCGAACGAAACCUUCGGGUUUAGUGGCGGAAGGGUUAGUAAGACAUGGAUAACUUGCCUUUAACUCUGGGAUAACGGUUGGAAACGACCGCUAAUACCGGAUAGGGUGAAAAGAAGACAUCUUUUUUUUAUUAAAGUGGGGGAUCGCAAGACCUCGCGGUUAAAGAGAGGUCCAUGGGAUAUCAGCUAGUUGGUGUGGUAAAGGCGCACCAAGGCUAAGACGUCUAGGCGGAUUGAGAGAUUGACCGCCAACACUGGGACUGAGAACUGCCCAGACUCCUACGGGAGGCUGCAGUCGAGAAUCAUUCGCAAUGGGCGAAAGCCUGACGAUGCGACGCUGUGUGAGUGAAGAAGGCCUUAGGGUCGUAAAGCUCUUUCGCCUGGGAACAAGAUGAGCUGGCUAACAUCCAGUGAUUUUGAGCGUACCAGGUAAAGAAGCACCGGCUAACUCCGUGCCAGCAGCUGCGGUAAUACGGAGGGUGCAAGCAUUAAUCGGAUGUAUUGGCAGCGUAAAGGAACUCAGAUCGGGUGUCAGUCAGAUGUGAAAUCCCGAGGCUCAACCUCGGAACAGCAUUUGAAACUACAUCUCUAGAGGGUAGGCGGAGAAAACGGAAUUCCACAAGUAGCGGUGAAAUGCGUAGAUAUGUGGAAGAACACCGGUGGCGAAGGCGGUUUUCUAGCUUAUACCUGACGCUAAAGCGCGAAAGCAAGGGGAUCAAACAGGAUUAGAUACCCUGGUAGUCCUUGCCGUAAACUAUGUAUACUUGGUGUAACUGGACUCAACCCUAGUUGUGCCGUAGCUAACGCGUUAAGUAUACCGCCUGGGGAGUACAGUCGCAAGGCUGAAACUCAAAAGAAUUGACGGACUCUGAUAUUGGCUCUUGACUUGUCAUGUGUAGAAUAACCAGGAGACUAAGAAAGCUCAUCGUCAGGUGAGCUGGAGUCGUCGUUG
rnacentral:rRNA from 1 species